GACGGUCUUGCUGUCACUUAUAGAUGGAUCCGCGCUGCAUUAGCUAGUUGGUAAGGUAACGGCUUACCAAGGCAACGAUGCAUAGCCGACCUGAGAGGGUGAUCGGCCACACUGGAACUGAGACACGGUCCAGACUCCUACGGGAGGCAGCAGUAGGGAAUCUUCCGCAAUGGGCGAAAGCCUGACGGAGCAACGCCGCGUGAGUGAUGAAGGUCUUCGGAUCGUAAAACUCUGUUAUUAGGGAAGAACAUAUGUGUAAGUAACUGUGCACAUCUUGACGGUACCUAAUCAGAAAGCCACGGCUAACUACGUGCCAGCAGCCGCGGUAAUACGUAGGUGGCAAGCGUUAUCCGGAAUUAUUGGGCGUAAAGCGCGCGUAGGCGGUUUUUUAAGUCUGAUGUGAAAGCCCACGGCUCAACCGUGGAGGGUCAUUGGAAACUGGAAAACUUGAGUGCAGAAGAGGAAAGUGGAAUUCCAUGUGUAGCGGUGAAAUGCGCAGAGAUAUGGAGGAACACCAGUGGCGAAGGCGACUUUCUGGUCUGUAAC
rnacentral:rRNA from 1 species